rnacentral:rRNA from 1 species
CCUACGGGUGGCAGCAGUGAGGAAUAUUGGUCAAUGGGCGCGAGCCUGAACCAGCCAAGCAGCGUGAAGGAUGACUGCCCUACGGGUUGUAAACUUCUUUUAUAAAGGAGUAAAGUGAGGCACGUGUGCCUUUUUGCAUGUACUUUACGAAUAAGGAUCGGCUAACUCCGUGCCAGCAGCCGCGGUAAUACGGUGGAUCCGAGCGUUACCCGGAUUUAUUGGGUUUAAAGGGAGCGUAGAUGGGUGGUUAAGUCAGUUGUGAAAGUUUGCGGCUAAACCGUAGAAUUGCAAUUGAUACUGGCAGGCUUGAGUACAGGUGAGGUGGGCGGAAUUCAUGGUGUAGCGGUGAAAUGCUUAGAGAUCACGAAGAACUCCGAUUGCGAAGGCAGCUUACUAAACUGCGACUGACAUUGAUGCUCGAAAGUGUGGGUAUCAAACAGGAUUAGAUACCCCUGUAGUC